rnacentral:lncRNA from 1 species
AAAGCAGAAUGUAGAACUAAAGGAAGAGAUCUGUAAUCUGAAGAAAGAGAUUGAAUUUCUCAGUAAUAAGCUUGAAUGUAGUUCAAUGGUUGAAGAUCAGAAUGUUAAACUGAGAAAGGAAGUGGAAAACUUGAGACACGAGAACAAAGUCUUAACGUCAUCAACUCAAAAUCUUGUUGCCCGACUUGAAAGUAUUGUCUUUGAAGACCAUGGGGUGGGGAUUGGAGAUCAGAUUAUUGAGUAGUGAAGCUACAAAACUAGAAACAGUGUAUGUUCAUAUAAUUUAGUAGAAUGAAGAAAACCACAGGUGGCACAAAAUUAAUAGUGUCGGACUUUUAGAACCUGUUAGAAGCUGAAGUAGAAGCCCGAUAAUGUAGUGGCAAAGUGUACAGCAUGUAGUGAAGUUUCACCCAGUGAUAUGAAACAAUUCUUAUAUUCAAUAUCAAGUUGAAGUAGUUAACAGAAGCAAAUAUAUUAGCGGUUAUCUGUGUAAAAUGUAAAUACAUUAUUCAUUUUAAUUGUUUUGACGUAUGGCUUUCCUGGAUAGUUUGGAGUGAAUUGUUCCUUGAAGCAUGGCUUCAGAAAGGACCUUUUUUUGGCUUGUUGCAUGUGGUCACUAAAGUACCAGCAAUGUUAAUUGGCCUUUGUCGACCAUUGGUGUGGCUUUAGGACUGCCUAUAGGUUGGUUUAUAUGCUGAAAUUUGUGAACACUCAUCUGUAAUCUUGAUAGAUAUUGAUAUCUGAUUUCUUAUUUAUUUAAUUAACCAAAUACGUUCAAUUUAAA